rnacentral:RNase_P_RNA from 1 species
CGAGGUGAACAGACGAUCGCAGGCCCGAAAGGGCAAGAGGAAAGUCCGGGCACCACAGGGCAAGGGUGCAGGCUAACGGCCUGUGGAGGCGACUCCAAGGAAAGUGCAACAGAAAGAAACCGCAUCCGUGAAUAACGGGUGUAAGGAUGGAAAGGCGAGGUAAGAGCUCACCCGCGGCCUGGCGACUCGUCCGCGAUGUAAACCCCACCCGGUGCAAGAUGCAAUGGAGGCAAGCCGGCUGCCCGCCGCGUUCUCCGCAAUCGCUUGACCCGCAUGGUAACAUGCGGGCUGGAUAGAUGAUCGUCCAAUACAGAACCCGGCUUACGGUCACGCUCGUACA